UAUAGGGCGCUAUGGGGGCUACAGGGCACGCUAUGGGGCCUAUAGGGCACGCUAUGGGGGCUAUAGGACACGCUAUGGGGGCUAUAGGGCACACUAUGGGGGCUAUAGGGCACGCUACGGGAUCUAUAGGGCGUGGUAUGGUGGCUAUAGGGCACGCUAUGGGGUCUAUAGGGCACACUAUGGGGGCUAUAGGGCACCUAUGGGGUCCACAGGGUGCGCUAUGGGGUCUAUAGGGCACGCUAUGGGGGCUAUAGGGCACACUAUGGGGUCUAUAGGGCACGCUAUGGGAUCUAUAGGGCGCUAUGGGGGCUAUAGGGCACGCUAUGGGGCCUAUAAGGCAUGCUAUGGGGGCUAUAGGGCGCGGUAUAGGGGCUAUAGGGCACACUAUGGGGGCUAUAGGGUGUGCUAUGGGGCUAUAAGGUUCUAUGGGGCACCCAUGGGUGCUGUGGGGAAUUAUGGGGCACCCAUAGAUUCUAUGGGGACUUAUGGGCAGCAUAUGGGGCAUGUGGGAUCUACGGGGCACCAAUGGAUCUAUGGGGCAGCUAUGGGGCACUGUGGGGUCUAUGGGGCAGCUAUGGGGCACUGUGGGUCUAUGGGGCAUGGCCAGAUCUAUGGGGCAGCUAUGGGGCACUGUGGGGUCUAUGGGGUGUGGCCAGAUCUAUGGC
ensembl:lncRNA